CCCAAGAGUGCGGCGCCAGCGUGCCCCGCUGGACACCUCCAUUAGAGGGAGGUCACGGCGUGUACAAAGGCGCGAAGGACGGCCCCACGCGCUCACAUCCUUCCCAGCUCCGUUUCGAAGAACCAACCAAGGAACCCCAGCCUCCCGCGCAGAUCGUACAGACGCUGCUGAGACCUCCCCCACGACACGCUAGGAACGCGACGCCGAAAGUCCCGCCCCUUCCGCUGUCCGCCGUCCCGGAACGCGGCACUCUGGGUUCCAACAGUGUCUCACAAGCAUUGGAUUGAACAGUGCGUGUUUCACCUCAGAGGAGGUAGGAAACCUUCCUGGGUUCUCUACUCGACUCCAAGGAGAGGCCAGCACACAUGCUGCUCUUCGCGGCAACUUCUUCAGCCAGCUUUGUCACUGCCCACCUGGCCCUGCGCUGCCCCCUGCCCUGCCAUUGCCUACCAGCAUUCCCCCAUCUUGCCUGGAUCACCCCACCAGUCCCUGCGCCUCACCUCAGCCCUGUUUGCAGGCUCCUCCACUGCAAUUUCGGGUCUUCACCCCUCAGUGUUAGAUGCCCCUAAGAAGCAUGUCUGAUCCUUCAGGCUCUGUCCUCCACUCUGGGGUCCUUACCUCCGCCUCUUGGAGGGGCUCUCAGAUAAAGGCAGUGCUGUCUGCUUGUAUCUCCAAUAUGUUGGUCCCCUCAGGAAAGAUAGAGAUUCUUCCUUAGGGUGCAAAUACUCCCCUCUGUUUGCCACCUGAGUAGGCAGGCACCUCUGUGACAUCUUUGCUCACAGUCACCCUCCCAGACCCUUCUCCUAAGGAGACUGACGUGAGAGCCCUAGGAAAGGGGAGGACAGGGCGAGAUAUGCCCUGCAAAGCCUCCAGUCUCCACCAGGUCCCCUGCCCCUCUUCAACUGCUCAUCUUCCCUUUAGCCCAUGAGCUUCCUUUCAGCCAUUUUGGGGCCCCUGAUGGUCAGCAAUAGGGAACCAGUUUCCCCAGUGCCCUGUCUUUGCUGUCUUAUGCAUCCCUGAUUCUGCAGUCUCCUUCCACUCCAGCAGCUAGCAGCUUUGCCGUCUGGGCAUCCAAGCCUGCCUUUGACUCUGAUGAAAUUUAUAUGGCUACCACACCCAUUUCCUAGUCUGUCAUCUUCCAGCCUCCUCCUGUCUCCAAUAAGAACUUUUUCACAAUUUACCCAGUGCUUCCUGGUUCUGAGAACACAUUGCUCAGUGACAGCAUAGCCUUAGAACCAGGACCCCCAGCUUGCCUGCACAGUAUGUCAGCAUCCCACUCCAAACCUCAGCCUUCCCUUUACCCAGGAGCCCCAUAUCAAUCUACAUCUGGGAAAAAAUUAAUCCCAACCCUUACCUGGUGCCAUUCAUAGAAGUUAUCUUGCAAUGGCUCUAGACAUUAAUGUAAAAGCUAAAAUUGUAAAACUUUUAGAAGAAAAUGUAGGACAAAAUUUUCACGACCUUGAGUAGGAAAAGCUUUCUUAGAUAGAACAUAAAAAGCAUGAACCAUUAACAGAAAAAAAAUAAUAAAUUGGACCUCAUAAAAAUUAAACACUUCAGAUCUUCACGAGAUUCCGC
ensembl:lncRNA